AAAUAAUUCAAUACAAAUUUGUUACAUUUCCAUCAUUUUGAACCAAUUUGAGGGGUGCGACCAUCGAAAUUCGAUUUCACUCUUAUCAAUGACAGGUCUAAUGUACAUGCGUAUAGAGAUACUUCCGUUCCUCCUGUAAUUCUUAACAUACCCUUAGUAUUUUACUGAUAACGUUGGCAAUGAUGGUUAGAUUAAUAAUAACAACAAUAAUAUUGA